rnacentral:rRNA from 1 species
GACGAACGCUGGCGGCGUGCCUAAUACAUGCAAGUAGAACGCUGAAGAGAGGAGCUUGCUCUUCUUGGAUGAGUUGCGAACGGGUGAGUAACGCGUAGGUAACCUGCCUGGUAGCGGGGGAUGACUAUUGGAAACGAUAGCUAAUACCGCAUAAAAUGGAUUAUCGCAUGAUAAUCCAUUGAAAGGUGCAAAUGCAUCACUACCAGAUGGACCUGCGUUGUAUUAGCUAGUUGGUGGGGUAACGGCUCACCAAGGCGACGAUACAUAGCCGACCUGAGAGGGUGAUCGGCCACACUGGGACUGAGACACGGCCCAGACUCCUACGGGAGGCAGCAGUAGGGAAUCUUCGGCAAUGGACGGAAGUCUGACCGAGCAACGCCGCGUGAGUGAAGAAGGUUUUCGGAUCGUAAAGCUCUGUUGUAAGAGAAGAACGAGUGUGAGAGUGGAAAGUUCACGCUGUGACGGUAUCU